rfam:Salmo salar isolate Sally breed double haploid chromosome ssa04, whole genome shotgun sequence.
GAUGAGGUGGCCGAGUGGUUAAGGCGAUGGACUGCUAAUCCAUUGUGCUCUGAAUGCAUGGGUUCGUAUCCCAUCCUCAUCG